UACGAAGGGGGCUAGCGUUGCUCGGAAUCACUGGGCGUAAAGCGCACGUAGGCGGCUUUUUAAGUCAGGGGUGAAAUCCUGGAGCUCAACUCCAGAACUGCCUUUGAUACUGGGAAGCUUGAGUCCGGGAGAGGUGAGUGGAACUCCGAGUGUAGAGGUGAAAUUCGUAGAUAUUCGGAAGAACACCAGUGGCGAAGGCGGCUCACUGGCCCGGUACUGACGCUGAGGUGCGAAAGCGUGGGGAGCAGACAGG
rnacentral:rRNA from 1 species